UGUUAAAAUUUAUAUACAUUUCUAUUAUUAAAAACGAGCAUGAUUAACAGAAUAACUAGAUAGUUAUACGUGACAAGCCUUGUGUACCUCAUGCUGACUUGCAAUGAUCAAUUUUUAACAGUAGAAAGGGAUGUAAUUUUUAACA
rfam:Gossypium raimondii Chr02_contig_28, whole genome shotgun sequence.